UUUGAAAACAAGAUGGCGGCCCGGCCGAGCCGGCGGUUGAUCGUUACAGGGGAUCAACGGAGUCAGCUGAUGGAAAGGUGUAAGCAUUGAUGAUCAUGGCGGCAGUGAUCGCUCAGCAAUCAUCAUCAUCGCCGCCGCAGUGAUGAGGACAACAAAACCCAGAAUGUGAUUACAGCGAAUGGGAGAGACGGAGGCGGCGGACGUUGGAAUUGGAAAAUAUGAAGAUCGUUUCCCUGCUUAAGUUCAAAUCUGGGCGGGAUUUGUGUCAAAAACACACAAACAUGAAGGAGUUUAUCUGGGAAUCAGAGCCUGGAGGAAAACCAAAGAGCUUUUUAUUUAUUUUCCCAAAGUGUUCCUGGCUCAACGUUUCUGUUUUCUGUGAGAAGCAAAAUCAUCCACGCUUGUUAAACUUGUAACACUUUAUGACAUUACAACUACAAAACCCAUGUCAGUGUGUCGUUUUGGGUUUUAAAGAAAUUCAUGAAUGUAAAUUUGAAGGAAGAUACAAAAUGUUUUGCAUAAGA